rnacentral:lncRNA from 10 species
GAGUGUUACCUUAAGGUUCAAGCUUCUCUGAGAUUGCAAACUACCUCUCCCUACAAAAAAGUCAAGAUAUUUAUGCAUCAAUACCCCUUAGCAAUGUGACUGUUGGUAAUCACAUCAAAAGGAUAUAAUUCUUCCUGGAACUUGAAUGGGAACCUCGUUGUGAAUAAAAAGAGUUAGAGGGAUUAUAUUGCCACCAUGGAAGAGGAGGAGCUGGAAGGAGAUUCUGAAGCCUUGGGACAAAGCUGGUGCUGCGGCAGUCAGAGCAGAGAGACAGAAUGAUGCCACUGAUUGCUGUGCUUUUGGAGACUGUUCUACUUCUGAAUUUCCAAUUCAGUGAAAUAAUGCCUGUCCUCAUUUAUUAGCCUUUUAGAGUUGGGUUUUCUGGUUUGCUUUGUUUAAAGUAUUCAAAAUGGCACAUACUUCUACUUAGCUUUAAUGUUUCUUCUUUUUAUUUAUCUUAGGCUCUGCUGCUGUCCUGUCCAUAAGGUUAUU